UACGUAGGGUGCAAGCGUUGUCCGGAAUUAUUGGGCGUAAAGAGCUUGUAGGCGGUUUGUCGCGUCUGCUGUGAAAUUUCGGGGCUCAACCCCGAACUUGCAGUGGGUACGGGCAGACUAGAGUGUGGUAGGGGAGACUGGAAUUCCUGGUGUAGCGGUGAAAUGCGCAGAUAUCGGGAAGAACACCCGUGGCGAAGGCGGUUCUCUGGGACGGUACUGACGCUGAGACGCGAAAGCGUGGGGAGCGAACAGG
rnacentral:rRNA from 1 species